rnacentral:rRNA from 2 species
UAUCUGGUUGAUCCUGCCAGUAGUCAUACGCUCGUCUCAAAGAUUAAGCCAUGCAUGUGUAAGUAUAAAUAUUUAACUUUGAAACUGCGAAUGGCUCAUUAUAUCAGUUAUAGUUUAUUUGAUGAAUAAUACUACUUGGAUAACCGUAGUAAUUCUAGAGCUAAUACAUGAUAAAAUCCUCGACUUUGGAAGAGGUGUAUUUAUUAGAAUGAAACCAAAAGACUUCGGUCUAUUUGUGAGUAAUAAUAACUAAUCGUAUCGCAUGCUUAGGUAGCGAUAUGUCUUUCAAGUUUCUGCCCUAUCAGCUUUGGAUGGUAGUGUAUUGGACUACCAUGGCAGUAACGGGUAACGAAGAAUUUGGGUUCGAUUUCGGAGAGGGAGCCUGAGAGAUGGCUACCACAUCCAAGGAAGGCAGCAGGCGCGUAAAUUACCCAAUCCUGACAUAGGGAGGUAGUGACAAUAAAUCACAAUGCGGAACUAUUAGUUUUGCAAUUGGAUUGAGAACAAUGUACAAAUGUUAUCGAUAAACAAUUGGAGGGCAAGUCUGGUGCCAGCAGCCGCGGUAAUUCCAGCUCCAAUAGCGUAUAUUAACGUUGUUGCAGUUAAAAAGCUC